rnacentral:misc_RNA from 1 species
UCGAAGAAAAAGUAAAGAUGGUGUCGACUAACGGCGAUGUCUCGUAAGCUGUACUAUAGUUUACAGUUAUGAUGUUACGAUUUCAAUAAAUGAACGCAUUCACAGUGUCUAUAACAAAAUAUAAUGAGCUCGAGUAAAAUGAGGCGGUCGACUAGGUAUUUAAGGCAUUGGUGCAAAAACUGACAGUGCUAAAUAGCACAAGAUUUACCUUGAAGAGUUUUCUAUCGGACUAAAACAAAAAUGACUGCUGAGUAUAGCAGAGGAAUCUUAAAAAUGGUCGUCGCACAGAUAUGCCAAACGAUCGGUUGGCACUCUAUUAAUUCUACUCCUUUAGAGUUCAUGGUUGACCUAAUGCAGGAGUAUCUUAUGCGAGUUUCCAAACUAACGCAUCAAUAUGCAGAAGUUUUGGGACGAACAGAAGCAAACCUUGAUGACUUAGGGCUUGCUUUUCAACAUAUGAACAUAGAUAUUCAAGAGUUAGUUGAAUACGUUAGAAAUGUAGACUCGAUUCCUUGUGCUAUUGAAGUCCCAAAAUUUCCUGUGCAUCGGGACAAUCACUUAAAUUUUCUAAAACCAGGCAGUCGAGAAGUAGUUACCAGAUCGGUACACAUUCAUGAACAUCUACCAGCCAUGUAUCCAAACACAGAAGAAGAGUACACGUCCGAUAGAGGAGAGAAUCUAUCAAAUGGCACAUCAGAGACACUAACAAGCAAUGGCACCUCUGCAGGGAAUUCAAAUGCAUCUCCUCACAGAAUUUCCCCACAGGUAGUAUUUAAAAGACCAGGUGACCCUGUGUCGUUUGAGAAUCCCAUAGCAAAGCGACCGAGAGUGAUGGAAGAAGGAAGGCCACUUCGUGAAAUUCACAGCGUGAUGAUGACUACGUCUGGAUUUCUUUCACCAGCACGAGAGGGUAAGCUCCCAGAAGCUAGAACUCCUCAGCAGACUCGUUCAGAUUCUCCACCACCUAGCUCUUACCCCAUGGUUCCACCAGAAUUAAAGAGUGAUAAGAAGCCAAAGAAAGUUGUGAAGAAAGGUGCCGAAGACCGGAAGUUGGAUAAGGAAAACAAAAAGAAAAAUCGCGCGAAAGAGUUAUUUAAACCUGAUAAAAUAGAUGAUAGUAAGGUGAAGAAGUUAGCUGGCAUGAAAGAAUUGGCUAAAUUAAAACCUUUAAAGCCAGGCGGUGGUAAGACACAAGGUGCUCAACCUGGGCCAUCCAGUAGACCGGCGACGCCGAAACUUGUAACACCGAAAGCUACAGGAGGGAGUCCUAAACUGUCCAAAACUCUUCAACCCAAAAUCAGGCUUGAAAAAGUAAUAGAUCUGACAGGAAGUCCACCACAAUUUGAAAAGAAGCAAGACACCGUAGACAAACUGCCAUCGGAACCUGAUAAGCAGAAACUUAACAUUUUCAAAAAAAUAUCGAAGACUCCUCGUGAGGACAAAGAGAAAGAAGUGGCGCCAGAACACCACAAACACAAAGAACUUGAUUCUCGUGAAAGUUCACCUGAUUUAAUUAUCGAUGAAAAUGUAGAUAAGUUUGCUCAUCGAAACGACGUUGAUUCCAAACGAGAAGAGAAAAAGACGCCGCAUACUCCUGAUAUCCAGCCUGAUGCAGAGUUUCCUUCGGACGGCAUAAGAAGUCCAUCCUCCGAUGUUUACAUGUUCGACGAUAUGUCACCACCUGGAACACCUAGCACGCCAAAGACUCCCGAAGUCAGCGUACCUAUCCCCGUUGAUCAGAAAAAAAAGAAAAAGGAUAAGAGCAAGAAAAAAGAGCCAAAGCUGAAGAGUCCAAAGCAUUGUGUGAGUCCGAGAAAGGUGAAAAUUACCAACGACACGAUGGAACCAGAUUUGCCAGAUCGGCCAAAGACUCCACAGGCUCCAGAGCCCCCGAUACACAGAGAACCUCCACAUCUUCCAAGCCUACCAUAUCCGUUUUUCCCUACGUUCCCUCCGGCGCCGGGUCUAAUUCCACAUCCAAUAGGACAUCCGAUGUUCCCAAGAUUUCCCCUGCCCUUGGGAAGGGGUGGUCCAGGACCGCAUCCAGCAAUGCCCAACUUGCCUUUACCUCCACGGUUUCUCACUCCGAAUUCCAAGACCGAAGACUUUCCAAUGCCGAAAGUUAAAUCUUCGGAACGUGAGAAAUCUUUAGCACCACCACCAUCGUUGCAACCACCACCUCCUCCAUCGUCACCGUCUCCACCACCUCCGCCUCCACCUCCACCGCAAUCUCUGCCACCUCCACCACCGCCACCACCGCUGCCUUUAACGUUACCGGCGGAUAUUGUGGUUACACCUGUCAAACACGAAAAACAGGAUAAGGAAAGAUCUGAGAAAAUUGGGAAGACUGUCAGUAAACAGGAGAAAGAAGCGUCCGUGCACGCUCCUGGACCUAUCGUUGCACCACCCGUUGUCUCUGCACCAGCUGCACUGGUCGUACCCCCUGCACCCGUGACUGCCGUGCCAUUGUUACCUCCGAAAGUCCCCAAGAUCGACAAACUAGCCAAGAUUGACAAGAAAUCGAAGGAACAUAAGAAAGAGAAAAAAGAUAAACUGAAGAAGAAGAAGGACAAAAAGGAGAAGCACAAAGAGAAGGGUGAAAAGAUUAAGGAGAAGAAAGAAAAAAGCGAGAAGAAGGAGAAGAUUGAAAAAAUUAAGGAGAAGAAAGAGAAAAAAGAAAAGCGAAAGGAGAAGGAUAUUAAUAACAAAAUAGCGAAAGAAGAAAAGACCAUGGAAGGUGUUCCAAAGAUUACGUUAAAAUUGGGACCUUCGUCUCCGAGGCCACCCACUCCUGAUAAUGCCCCCAUGAAGAAAAUUACCAUCAAGCCAGUAUUUAAGAAGACCGAGGAAGACGCGUCAAAAAGGGAGCCCAGUCCGGAGCUGGCAAAAAUUUCGGCUCUGGUAACGCGACCGCCUAAGCAGAAGUCAGCAAGUAAGAGACCGGAGGAUGGGACGUUAGACGCAAGCCCUGCUUUUCCCUCGGAAACUUCUUUCUCGAACAACCUCGCCUGCGUUUCAAUUCCAAACGCUCCCAGAACCAAGAAAGCCCUCUUUAAACCCCUUCCUCAGAGAGAUCCGUCGCCUCAAACGCACUACAACGAUCAUCCCGUGACGAAUGUUACCCUUUCCUCUCCCCCGAGUCCUCAAGUGCCGCAGCAACGAGCAGCGUAUUACUUUGAUCAGGUAGGCCGACAAGUUUGGAUAUGUCCUGCCUGCGGGAACCAGGAUGAUGGAUCACCAAUGAUUGGCUGUGAUGAUUGCGAUGCAUGGUAUCACUGGGUUUGCGUUGGAAUGCAAGUUCCACCCGCUACCAAUGAAGAUUGGUAUUGUCGCUCUUGUAUCGCUAAACAACAAGAACUUCACCAUGACAAGAAGAAAAAGAAACGUAAGAAGAAAGUAAAGGUAACGGCCUAGUACAAGCCAACCGGACCCGGGGUGAGGUCCGGUAUAUCGACGCAAGCUGCCACUAAAGUCAAAUUAAAAGGCAGCAAAUUAAACGUUAAAGGAGUCAAGCCUGGUAAGAAGGUGUCAAAGAAAGAAUUGAAAAUGCAGAUGAAGACGUUAAAGGUGAAACCUGGCAAAACGAAAGGAAAAAACAAGAAAGGUGUUCUCAAAAUGAAACCCAGCAAGAAGAGUAAAAAAUUGAAGGAAGGCGCACCUCAUUGAGAGCGAAGAAUUAAAAUCUAAAAAACGUGUCUCGCUUAUGUUUAAGAUUAUUCAAAUUGGUAUCGAUUGUUCAUAAGAAGCGUCGAUUCAUCGUGUAUAGGAAAAGAAUAGAAGUAAGUCAGUUUUGCACUAGGUUCGAUGAGAAUGAAAAACAGCGGUCUACAAAAAAAUAAAAAUAUUAAUUUAUAAUUGGUAUAACGUUCACGUGUUGUAUAGUAAGUACGAAAUGACCCAUACAUAAAUUUUCUAUAGAGCCUGUUACUCGAGUAGAAUGGUUAAAAAUUUGUAUGAAAUAGAAUUUGAAUAAGUUUGUACAGUUUUCUUGUUAAACCAAGUGAACAUCAAAUUUUGUAUGGGUUUAAACGAAGUUUCAAACUUCAGUAAAUGUAUGCGUGAUGUUUCUUAUUUUUUAAGAUUCAUUAAUUUACGUUGAUUUUUGUAAAAAGUUUUUAAUCGAGACAUUGGAAUUAAGGUGACCAUGUAUACUUGAAUGUAGCGUGUACGUGUUGGAAAAAUGUCGAAAGCAAUGAAAAAUAACAAUAGGCAUAGGAACUGAUUUUGUACAUGAUAUGAGAUGGUUAGAAGAAUUGUAUAAUUAACAGAGACUGAAAUGAUUGUGUAACUAAUAGAAAUUCGAAUCCCAAGUCAAUGCUUUGGUAUCAAUUUUGUACCCUUUGAGUGCUGUAAGUACUGACCAUAUUCCAUUGCCACGACCAUAGGAAUCAUGCAGAUACUUUUGUGUUCAAGUUAUUUCUUGUUCAUGAAAAAUUAAAUAGAAUGUGAAAAACGGUGUAAAAAAUAUAUAAUUUCCUUAUUA